rnacentral:rRNA from 1 species
UACGUAGGGUGCGAGCGUUAAUCGGAAUUACUGGGCGUAAAGCGUGCGCAGGCGGUUAUGUAAGACAGUUGUGAAAUCCCCGGGCCUCAACCUGGGAAUUGCAUCUGUGACUGCAUAGCUAGAGUACGGUAGAGGGGGAUGGAAUUCCGCGUGUAGCAGUGAAAUGCGUAGAUAUGCGGAGGAACACCGAUGGCGAAGGCAAUCCCCUGGACCUGUACUGACGCUCAUGCACGAAAGCGUGGGGAGCAAACAGG